rnacentral:rRNA from 1 species
AACGAACGCUGGCGGCAGGCCUAACACAUGCAAGUCGAACGGACGUAGCAAUACGUUAGUGGCGCACGGGAGAGUAACACGUGGGAACCUACCUUUUGGUUCGGGAUAACGUCGGGAAACUGACGCUAAUACCGGAUAAGCCCUAUGGGGGAAAGAUUUAUUGCCAAAAGAUGGGCCCGCGUUAGAUUAGCUAGUUGGUGAGGUAAUGGCUCACCAAGGCUACGAUCUAUAGCUGGUCUGAGAGGAUGACCAGCCUCACUGGGACUGAGACACGGCCCAGACUCCUACGGGAGGCAGCAGUGGGGAAUAUUGGACAAUGGGGGCAACCCUGAUCCAGCCAUGCCGCGUGGAUGAUGAAGGCCUUCGGGUUGUAAAGUUCUUUUGGUAGGGACGAUAAUGACGGUACCUACAGAAUAAGCUCCGGCUAACUUCGUGCCAGCCGCCGCUGUAA